rnacentral:tRNA from 1 species
GCAGGAGAAGCAGUAUGGUAGCUCACUAGGCUCAUUACCUUGAUGUAACAGGUGCAAAUCCUGUCCCUGUA